AUUGAACGCUGGCGGCAUGCCUUACACAUGCAAGUCGUACGGCAGCGCGGGAGCAAUCCUGGCGGCGAGUGGCGAACGGGUGAGUAAUACAUCGGAACGUGCCCAAUCGUGGGGGAUAACGCAGCGAAAGCUGUGCUAAUACAGCAUACGAUCUACGGAUGAAAGCAGGGGAUCGCAAGACCUUGCGCGAAUGGAGCGGCCGGUGGCAGAUUAGGUAGUUGGUGAGGUAAAGGCUCACCAAGCCUUCGAUCUGUAGCUGGUCUGAGAGGACGACCAGCCACACUGGGACUGAGACACGGCCCAGACUCCUACGGGAGGCAGCAGUGGGGAAUUUUGGACAAUGGGCGCAAGCCUGAUCCAGCCAUGCCGCGUGCAGGAUGAAGGCCUUCGGGUUGUAAACUGCUUUUGUACGGAACGAAACGGCUCUUUCUAAUAAAGAGGGCUAAUGACGGUACCGUAAGAAUAAGCACCGGCUAACUACGUGCCAGCAGCCGCCGUAACAC
rnacentral:rRNA from 1 species